UACGUAGGGGCUAGCGUUGUCCGGAAUCAUUGGGCGUAAAGCGCGUGUAGGCGGCUUGAUAAGUCUGCUCUGAAAGCCCGGGGCUCAACCCUGGGAGGCGGGUGGAUACUGUCGAGCUCGAGUCCGGAAGAGGCGAGUGGAAUUCCUGGUGUAGCGGUGAAAUGCGCAGAUAUCAGGAGGAACACCAAUGGCGAAGGCAGCUCGCUGGGACGGUACUGACGCUGAGACGCGAAAGCGUGGGUAGCAAACAGG
rnacentral:rRNA from 1 species